UGUCCUUUUCAGAUGGGCGAGCAGAGAAGUCAGUGCCUAGGGAGACAGCGUGGUUGGAAGCGUCCAGGCUGAGUCAAAUCAGGAGAGGAAAAUAAAGGAAGGAGACUAGAAAUUGGAACGUGCUUGUGAAGACGAAAGCAGAUUCUUCCCUUCCAAGAAAGAGACUAGAGCCCCAGCAGGGCCCGGGAGACAAACCCAGCUUCUGCCUGGAGAGGAAGUUAGGCAAAUGUCAGCGUUUCUCAAAUAGCCUUGCCCAGAAAAAUGUGUCAACAAACACCCAGCCAAACUUCACGGAUACAACGCAAGGCAACUCGGCCGAGAAACCGGGGAUGCAUCUCCUGAGGGAGACGCGCUUGAAUUGAGUUAAAAAUACAUUAAAUUCACAGUCACUCAAGAGCUAAAGACCCAGAAAAUACCUCUGGACUUCAGCUUUGAAAUCCUUCGAUUUCCUUUAAGGUAUGGGCACGAGAGUCAGGUGCUAUGAGAGGCUGUAGCGUCAGAUCUCCUGGAGCUCAAGUUACACAUGGUUGUGAGCCACCCAACACUGGCAUCCCAAUGAGAAAAUGCUACUACACUAUAACAUGGACUCAUCCGUCAGAAUCUAGUGCAAACAGCCUCUGCUCUGUGGUGGCUUCCUGAUGCCCAGAAGAGAAUGAGAUGCUCCUGGAGUGUGACCCAGAGUCCUGUCAUGGUCCAUUUGUAAUUAUCCACAGGCCAUCCUACCUUAUGCCCCUUCCCACUAAGGGCUUCUUGGAGUUAGAGGCAUUGUUUUGCUUUAUUUCCAGCUGUGCUCAGGAAGAUGAAUAUGAUGUAGACCGCUCUCACUGAGCAUGCACUGACUGAAUUGCAUUAAGCAACAUGUGCUUAAUGAAACACUGAAUAAAAAACUGAAGGGGCUGGGGAGAUGACUCAGCCGUUAAGAGCACUGGCUGCUCUUGCAAAGGACCUGGCAUUGGUUCCCAGCACCAACAUGGUAUCUUACAACUGACUAU